rnacentral:rRNA from 1 species
GAUGAACGCUGGCGGCGUGCCUAACACAUGCAAGUCGAGCGAACGAACGAGAAGCUCGCUUCUCUGAUGUUAGCGGCGGACGAGUGAGUAACACGUGUAUAACCUACCUAUAAGAAUGAGAUAACGUCGGGAAACCGGAGCCAAUAUCCGAUAUUAUGGUGAACCGCAUGGUUCAAUAGUGAAAGACCGUCUUGCUGUCACUAAUAGAUGGUACCUCGCUGGAUUAGCUAGUUGGUGAGGUAACGGCUUACCAAGGCGACGAUGCGUAGCUGACCUGAGAGGGUGAUCAGCCACACUGGAACUGAGACACGGUCCAGACUCCUACGGGAGGCAGCAGUGGGGAAUCUUGCACAAUGGGCGAAAGCCUGAUGCAGCCAUGCCGCGUGAGUGAUGAAGGUCUUCGGAUUGUAAAACACUGUAAGUUGGGAGGAAGAGAAGUAAGUUUAUCUCUGGCUGUCUUGACGGUACCAACAGAAUAAGCACCGGCUAACUACGUG